CUGAAGCAUAAACCAGAGUGGAGAAUUAGAGGAGCUGAUUAUUAUGAGGACACCUGUAUUUUUGUCUACUCUUCAUGUGAACUUGAAAGUGCACUCAUUAAUGCAAACUGAUGUAAGUGAAAGAGAAGCAGGAAAAGGGGAGUGUAAAGAAGAGACAGGACCUUUACCAGAUGUGGACAUUUUAUUUGGAAAGACCAGGAGGUGUUGGUGAGGAAGAACUCAUUAAUUGUACUCUAUUCCCUUGCCUACAAAGAGAACUGCACCCAAAUUACAGAAGAACUAAAGAAACCUUAUAGCAUUUAGAGCCUCCAAUAAGCAAGAACAUCCAAGAAAGACUAUUUCUGUGAAUGUGAGGAAAUGUGGAGAGUACACGAGCAGAAAUCCAGCCUUCUUGUAUGCAUUUUUGAGAAUACGAGUCUAUCUUUGGUAAGCAUGAUUCAUAACAAUCAACUAAACAGUGCAUAAUUCCAACUAGCUACACACCUAAGUUAGACAGUGAUGCAUAUAGACUAUAAUCAAAAAUAGGAUGUAUCAAGAAAAUGCAUUUAAAGGAAAGCAAAUAAAGUUCUGGAAUGAAAUGUUUCU